UACGGAGGGUGCACGCGUUAAUCGGAAUUACUGGGCGUAAAGCGCGCGUAGGCGGCUGAUUAAGUCGGGUGUGAAAGCCCCGGGCUCAACCUGGGAACUGCAUCCGAUACUGAUCGGCUAGAGUAUGAGAGAGGGAGGUAGAAUUCCACGUGUAGCGGUGAAAUGCGUAGAUAUGUGGAGGAAUACCGGUGGCGAAGGCAGCCCCCUGGGAUAACACUGACGCUCAUGUACGAAAGCGUGGGUAGCAAACAGG
rnacentral:rRNA from 1 species